AAUUCUCGUGUUCUUUUUUUGUUUGUCAUUAUCUUUAGCUUUUGCUUGUAUCAAUUGGUAUCAAAGCCCAAUGAUCCUAGGUUUAUUUAUUGUUGUGUGCUGCAAUCUCAUGGAAGAGAAUUUAUUUGUUGUUGUGUGUGCUAACAAACCAUGUUGGGAAAAGAUUGUGGAGCAGAGUGUGGCCAAGAAGGGGAUGGGGAGCUCCCCCAUUGAUAGAGGAACAUCCAGAAGCUCGCUAUCAAAGACAUGUAAAGACAGAUCACAUAAUUAACCUGUUGGCUAGAGGAGAGAGACUUGCGAGACCAGGGAUAAUGUGACCUGGGCUAAGAGAGUGAUCAUGGGUCCUUGGUUGGUAUUGCAAAUUACUAGUGUUAGUCUUUGAGAAACUAUUUAAAAUAAAUUGUGAUGCUUUUGGAGUAGGCAUUACCUUUUGCUAAAGGAGUUUAUUUUAGUUACUGACCAUGAAGCUCUGAAGUAUAUAAAUGGGUAGCAUAAGCUAAGUCGUCGACAUGCGAAAUGGGUGUUGAUUUUGCAAGAGUUCACUUUUUCAUU